rnacentral:snoRNA from 1 species
UGCCUCGUUAUUCACAGACACAACUCCCUGUGUCAGUGUCUGAACUGAAGAACGUGGCUAGAGGAGUGACAGGUUAUGCUUUCCUCACUGCAAAGUUAAUUGCAGUGGUGACAAUGAGGCCUGUAACAGGU